rnacentral:miRNA from 1 species
UGAGAUUGUAGAUUGAAU